GUCGCCCAGGCUACGCCGCCUGCCCCGCGAGUCCUCGGCCCGCGUCCGCAUCCGGUAACCGUGCCUCCCGCCCCCUCAGCGGCGCCUUAUAUGUCGCCCACGGCCGCCGCUGGGUCAUGGAGCGCGCACGCCGGGCCCGGCGAUGGAGCUGCCAGAGCGGCUGCUGCUAGACAGACUGGCCUACCUGGAGUGCGUCCUGGGCGUCCUGGCCUUCCUGGUGCUCAGGCUGGCUGGCCCGCCCUACGGGCGCCACGUGUCGCCGCGCUCCGCGUUCCUGCUGCCGGCGCGGGUCGCCUGGGCUGUGCAGGAGCUACCCUCGCUGGUGGUGCCUCUCGUCGUGUGCUGCUGCGCGGAGGCCGAGCGCCUCCACAGCUGGCCCAACCGCAUCCUGCUGGCUAUGUUCCUCGUCCACUACACGCAACGGUCCUUAAUUUUCCCAUUUCUGAUCCGAGGAGGAAAGCCAACACCAGUGAGAACAUGUAUAGUGGCAUUCACGUUCUGUACCUAUAACGGCUACUUGCAAAGCAGAUACUUGAGCCAGUGUGCAGUGUAUGCUGAUGACUGGGUCACUGACCCCCGAUUCCUAGCAGGUUUUGUCUUAUGGUUAAUAGGUACUCUGAUAAACAUCCAUUCAGAUCAUAUCCUAAGGAAUCUCAGGAAACCAGGGGAGAAUGGAUAUAAAAUACCACGGGGAGGCUUGUUUGAAUAUGUAACCGCAGCCAACUACUUCGGUGAGGUCGUGGAGUGGUGUGGCUUCGCCCUUGCCAGCUGGUCCCCCCAGGCCGGGGCUUUCGCUCUGUUCACAGCCUGCAGCUUAUUCAGCAUAGCCCAGCAUCAUCACCACCUGUUCAUCAGACUUGAUGACAAAAAGCAAGAUUUGUGACCACUUGGCAAGUGUUUCCUCAGCUCUCCAGGAUCUGUCUGCACCAAAGGAAGACUGCUGUGAGGGAAAUUUGGGAAUACUAAGCUGUUUGUAAGCCAGAAAAAGCAAUAACUGCUUUGGAGAAUUAUCUCAGAUUUAGUAUAAUUUAAAUGCAGGGGGCAUCUAUUGGUUAGGGGUUAUCUCACUUUGAAACAAAAGGCAGUGGGACACUGUUCACACUCCAUGAUAAUAAAAUCAAGACAAAAAGCUGAUACCGAGCUGUGGUCAGUGUCAUGAGUGACCACUUUGACUCUAGAGAUAGAAAAAUGAGUGAAAAAAUAAUAGGAAUCAUACUGAUUGCCCUUUUACAAAUAUUUAUCUGUACACACAUUUUAUAAAUAUUAAGAUAAAAUUUCUUGAGGUACAUUUGUAAUCUCAAUGAUUAAAUGAAUGAGAAAGAUUUAUUCUAUUUAACAAAGUAUAUUUUAUUCCUAUAUAGUGGCUUCUGUGAAGUAAAGUUAACGUAUUUGUUGGGCAUAGCUCUGUUGGGUGAGAAACUCUGACCUCAUAAAGGUUCUUCCUGACGUCAUGAGGAAUCCCGCCCUGCUGCCUAACACUUCAGACAGUCCCCCAUAUUGUGCUUGGGCAUGGCUGUCCUGUUUCUGCUGAUAUUAAGCUGUUCUCUGUGUCCACUUCUUCCCUUCUGAGGCCAGUGUGUCCCUCCUCACAGGCAGUUUCUAGGGACAGGCACUGACCCCUGCCUGUCUGUGAGCUGCAUCUGAUGCCACAGACUCACGGGAAAGUGCCGAGAAGCCUGCUCAUGGUCCACGUCCUGAGUCCCUAGCAAGCUGUUUUGGUCUGUUUGGGCUGCUACAAUGAUAAACAAUGCAAACUGGGUGGCUUACAAACAGCAGACAUUUAUUCCUAGCGGUUCUGAAGGCAGGAGUCAGAGAUCAGGGGGCCAGUGUGCUCGGGUUCUGGUGAGAGCCCCUUCUGGGUUGCAGAUGGUACCACCUCUGCCUCCUCACAGGGCAGAAGGAGGGAGGAGCUCCCUGGGGCUUCUUCAUCAGGGCACCAGUCCCAUUCCUGAGGGUUCACGACCUGAUCACCUGCUAACAGGCCCCACCUGCUAACACCAGCACCGUGCGCCUCAGGUUUUUAACAUGAAUGUUGGGGGUCACAUGCUUGAUCCAGAGGUCCAUUGGCCAACAUCGGUAUUUUUUUCACUCUGCGUUUUUUGGGGUAUAUGGAACAGCAUGUGAAAGUAAACAUGUCAGUCUAGUAUGUUAUGAAUCACAGUUUGUGAAGGACUAUUAAGCUAAUCUGAAAUGGACAGGGUUUUGCUGACUCAGUUUGGUCUUGUCAUGUUCUUUUGCUGUAAUAGCAGGUAGCUGAUCACUUUGCUUCAUGAUUUUUAGUCAGUUUAGCACUCUUUUAUUCUUUUGUAAACUGCUUUUUUUCUCUCUCUCUCCAUCUUGUCAAAUCAUUUUUAAUUUUUAUUUCAUCCCCUUAGUUGCUACACUUCCCAACUGGCUAUGACGCCAAACAAAUGCGUGUACCUGGUUUGGGUGUAAUUUCUGUAAAGACUGGCCACGCCCGUUUUGCUCUGCACACGGGGCUGAAUCGCGAGCGCCCGUGUUGCAUCUGCCCAGGUGGUACCUUGAAAAAUUUGAGGAUUAUCCGAAGUUCAGAAAAACUAUAAUUCCAUUUUUGUUUUAAAUCCAUUGUCAUCUUUGACUCGAAGCUUUUUGAUGGCUUUUCUCUAGGGAUUAUAUAAAUGAAUUAUCUGUGAUUUUGCCGCUACAUCUUUUUGUCCUAAUUUGCUCUAGGAAUUUUUUCCCUAGUGAAUGUGUAAGCUACCUAAUAAUAAUGCAGGUUGAAGCACUAUGCUGCCUACCAGGUGGAAUGUGAAACGGGGCGAUUACUGCUGGCCACUUCUCUGAUUUUGGAUGUACCUUUUCUGGCUACAUGCAGCCACGUGUGCAUAGGACCAGAAUUUGCAAGCCAUCCUUGAUGGCCUCUGUGGACCAAACUAUUUCACAACCCCUACAACAACUGACUCAUGGUCACUUCUGAUGUUGCCCUCUCCCCCCAGAGGCAUGACCCAUCUCUGCUGUCCCUUAUCCCACUGGAUCAGAGAGACUUGGGGCACUGGUCACAGCCUCAGGGAAACCCUGGGCCCUCACCCUUGGGGGUUGUGCAGGCAAGGAUGCAGAAGCACAGCUGAGGCCUGGACCAAAGGCAUCUGGCACUUGGCUCUGGCCUCGCCUGUUGGGUGACUUCACCAGCAGGGCAGCGACCAGAGGGCAUGCAUCAGGAGCUUGCCCAAAGGGACCUGUCACUCCACAGUGGCAGCACCAAGGUGCGACGUGGCAGGCCCCUUCUCUAGCCUCACCAUAAGCCAGCAGUGAGCAGCCUCCACUCUGAGACAGUCGUCUUGCUUUUCUCCUUCCUUUUAGUGUGACGAAGUUUUUAAGGCACUUUUUUUUUUUAAGUACCCCUCAAUGUUGCAAAACGAUAUUUUGGAACAGAAUUCCUUACUGCAGAUGCACAUGAAAUGUCCCCAGAGAUAAAUGGCAGUAAUGCAAUUUGCUGCAGAGCCACAGACCGUAAGAGAAAUGGAAACAAAGAAAUGGAUUUGGGUUCUCUGCAGUCACUAGGGUGCUGGCUGGCAGGAGGCCUCGGGGUGCCCAGAAGCUGUGUGUCCUGUGGAUGCACCUCCUGCCACUUUGGGCAGUGGGCAGGCCCCCCUGGCUAGGUCAUUGGCUCCCUCCAGCCUUCUCUCGGCUCACCUUCCCAACAAGGCCUCCCCAGCCCCUCACGAGCCCUGACAUAGAAACUGUAUUCUCACUGUUGGGGGAUUUAGAGUCUCUCAUGGGCUUAGAAUAACACAAAAAACUCUCCUGAUGCCCUUGUGCUUCAUUUUAACUAAAAAUAAUGUUUUGGCAAAGAGAUUUUUAUUAUUAAGUAAAUGUUGGGCCUUUUUCUGACCAAAUAGUUACUUGAAAACAUAAAGCAAUAAAUGCUUUGGAACUCCUCAGGAAAACGCAAAAGUCCAAGGGAGAUUGGGGCCCAUGUCCUGGAAGGUAUACCUGGCAGGGAGAAGGCAGCAUGCCUGAGCGCCAGUGACGCUGCUGUGAAGUGUACGGCAGUUGGUGAUUAGUUUAAUACACUUACUACUGUAAUGGCAUGCACUGCGGGGGAUUCACAUGAAGAAAUCCUAUUCUAUCUUGUCUCACUGCCGUCUAUAUCCUAAAACCUCUUAACUUGGUAAAUUGUCAUCAAUCAUUGAGUUAAUUUUAAUAAUCGAGAUUAAUAAAAUUGCUGCUACAAAUCUA